AGAAGCGCUCGGAGUGUGGUCGGGGAGAGUUGUAUCGAUUUUACGAUCGGUCUUCGGUCUCGCGCGGGCUUAGUUGCGCCUCCACAGUUUCGCUUUAGUUUUUUAGUGGCCGUGCGACUCACCCUACGCAUCGUGUGUUCUAUAUGGAUAAAAAAUCGUGAAUGGGAUUACCAAUUAGGUGCUACAAAUUCGUGCGUUCGUUUACUCGAUAAUCGUCGUUUAAAAUCAUGACCAAGGAUAGAUUAGCAGCCCUCGUUGCGGCCCAGUCGGACGAUGACGACGUGGCGGACGAGGUGUCCGUUCCCGUGGGCGGUCAGGAUGAUUUCAUGACGGAAUUCUUCGCAGAGGUGGAGGAGAUACGUGAAAUGAUCGACACGAUCCAGACGAAUGUCGAAGAAGUUAAGAAGAAGCACAGCGCCAUCCUAUCAGCGCCGCAGACCGAUGAAAAAGUCAAAAUGGAAUUGGAGGAUCUCAUGGCCGACAUCAAGAGAACCGCCAACAAAGUCCGAGCCAAGUUAAAGGUGAUCGAACAGAACAUCGAGCAGGAGGAGCACACGAACAAAUCCUCAGCGGAUUUGAGGAUACGUAAGACUCAACACUCGACGUUGUCUAGGAAAUUCGUCGAGGUUAUGACCGAGUACAAUCGAACGCAGACCGAUUACAGGGAAAGGUGUAAGGGAAGAAUACAGCGACAGCUCGAAAUCACGGGGAGAACCACGACUAACGAGGAACUCGAAGAAAUGCUUGAGCAAGGAAAUCCGGCGGUAUUUACUCAGGGGAUUAUAAUGGAAACGCAACAAGCCAAACAGACACUCGCCGAUAUCGAGGCUCGUCACGCUGACAUUAUAAAAUUAGAAAAUUCCAUCAGAGAACUUCACGACAUGUUCAUGGACAUGGCAAUGCUUGUCGAAAGUCAGGGCGAGAUGAUAGAUCGCAUAGAAUACCACGUGGAGCACGCGGUCGACUAUGUCCAGACAGCGACCCAGGACACCAAAAAAGCACUCAAGUAUCAAAGCAAAGCCCGACGGAAAAUGAUCUUCAUUAUGAUCUGCGUUGUAAUACUUGUCGUCAUACUAAUCGCCAUUGUGGUAGGGUGCCUUCCGAUAUUCUAAACGUCCGAGGCAAGCGUUGAUCGUUAAGCGCCACAAUCGAGAUUCAAUUACGGGAUUUAUAUAAAGAAACACAUAAAAGGAGAGAGGGCCGUGUAAGACCUAUAAAUAUCGCGCGGGCGCGCGCGCGCGCGCACGAGUUUAAUCAAACGGACGGAAGAGACACGACUAUUGCUCGAAAUUUACCAACAAUAAAAGCAUACUAAAUUCAUAACUACAGACUAAUCCGAUCGCGUUCUCGUUGAAAAGUAAUGAGAAAGAGAGAGAGCACCAUCGACGACGCAUUGCAGCUUAGCUUGAGCCAAUAAAUCGAUAAAAACUAAUCUCAUACAUAUUCCUACAUAUAUAUUAAUAUAAAUGGACGGAUGGUUAAGUAAAAUUGUAAAAACUAGUGAUCCAAGAGAGUAGGUAGAUCAUUCUUGCAGCAAAACUCAUUCUCGCAAACGAAUCGCCCAAGCCCCGCGCCUGCGACUGAACUAGAGCGACUGUGCGAGUGUGCGGGUGUGUGAACGCGUGUUGAAAAAGUGAUUCGUGGAAGAAAAAGUGAUUUUCUAUUCGCCACGAAUCUGGAAAAAAGCAGAAUGAAUCGAUCUUAACGAAUGUAAUCUAAACCGAGACGACGAAAGCGAACGACAUUGGUGCUGUAAAAGGUCAAUUUUCCUUGUCCGCCGUUUAUUGGCGAAAAAAAAGUACUACUAUUCCGUAAUUGAUUUUCCUUUUAUCGCACAAACGAACGAGAGAGCCCCGAAUCCGAUUCUUGGAUUCGCGGAGAAAUAUAAAAUCGAGGAAUCGUCGUACGUCCUUGCGUAUGUAUGUACAGCCCGUAUAUCCUUGCCAGCUGCAAUUAACAGAACGAGGCGUAAAAAAAUGUCGCACCUACAUAUAGCGCGCGUAUCGAACGUUGCCCACAAACCUAUCAUUCGCAAUAUUCGUUUUUUCAUCCUGUUUCCGUCAAAGACCGAGGCUUCGACCGAUCGAAAAUAUCGUUGUGUCGAUUAUUUUCAUUGUUUAAUUCGAUCGUUGUUCAUUAGAUUGGAGAUAAAUUGCGAUCGGACUCGGCUGAGGUUUGGUCGGUAACGGAAAUUAAGUUGUAUAGCGCCAAGUAAAAAUCGGUAAAGAUCGUUGCUCUGUAAUACAUUUGUGGCUUAUCACACUCGUCCCCUGGUCAAGCUCAUAAGUUUGUGUUUCGUUGGUUUUCAUUUGUUUUUGUUUUUGUUUUUGUUUAUAUUUUAAACAUCAUUCAUGAAUUCGUGCCGCGAAUCUGUUGCACGCGUUUCCGUUUCCGUUGUUGGAGGAGCGUCGUUGUACUCGGAGACGACGAUGAACCACCGGACGAUUGCCUUACGCGCGAAUUUAGUCAAUUAGGCGCUCAAGUAUCGUGGCCUUCUCAGCCCUGUAAAUAGUCACUAUCGAUCCAAUGCCAAUCGCGAGAGCCGACCGGAGGUCGUGACUUCAAUAUUACAGCAAAAUAAAUAAUAAUUAUGUCGUUCAUUUCUUUGUUUCUUUUCUUCGCAGUUACAUUCGUAUAUAAAUCAGCUCGGAUCUCACUCGCGGUACCACUUUUACGUUUUUCAUCACACGAAAAUGAUUGUGAAGGAGAAAAAUGCUUACCGUACGUUCUGGUUUUGAGCGCAGUCACCGCGUUGACUGACCGAGUUUUUUUCUCUUUGGUCAUCGAAAUAUCAAAAUUUGAAAAAUUUCGUCAUGUCAAUUCGGACGUCGGAUCCUUAAAGUUUCACAAGCAGAACAUUCGAUCGAAGCAAUUCCGAUAACGCGAGUUCGCGCUUGCGAUCCGAGCAAAUUUUGUAGACGGACUUAAACCCCCGUAAAACAGUGAAAAAAAGAAACAAAAUGAGGAUGACGCGCUUAAUAAAAUGUACAGUUUUUUUGUUCCCACAUCCCCACGGAAACGGAAACGUCAUGAAGCAUAUUUUCCUUUUUUUUCACAUAUGUUUAUUAAUUCAUUUAUAUUUUUUUUCGAAAACGUUGACGACGCGAAAGUAUGAAACUGACGCUAACGUUGUUUUGUUCACAGAAAUUGAUCUUCAUCGUAGUCUGCCUGACAGUGGCGGUCAUCAUUUUAAUUAUCAUUCU
rnacentral:misc_RNA from 1 species